ACCCACAUCACACACUCUUCGUCCCGUCUUGAAACACGGACCAAGGAGUCUAUCCUUUAUGCAAGUAGUAUGGUGUUAAACCAAUAUGCAUAAUGAAAGUAAGAGGUGUGAAACUUUUGAAGUGUCAACAUCUGCCGAUCAUAAUUCUUUGAUGAAAGAUUCGAGUAUGAGCAUAUAGGGUGGGACCCGAAAGAUGGUGAACUAUGCCUGAAUAGGACGAAGCCAGGGGAAACUCUGGUGGAGGUUCGAUUGGAUUCUAACGUGCAAAUUGAUCUUUAAAUUUGGGUAUAGGGGCGAAAGACUAAUCGAACCAUCUAGUAGCUGGUUCAUUCCGAAAUUUCCCUCAGGAUAGCUGCAACUUUUGAAAUAGUUUUAUGAGGUAAAGCGAAUGAUUAGAGGUUUCUGGGAUGGAAUAUCCUGGACCUAUUCUCAAACUUUCAAUGGGUAAGAAAUCGGGGAUGUUUAAUUAAUCUCUGAGUUUGAAUAUGAGUUGCAAGUGGGCCAUUCCGGGUAAGCUGGACUGGCAAUGCGGGAUCAACCGAACGCUAUGUUACGGUGCCUUAUUAUUCGCUCAGUUCGAUGUAAAAGGUGUUAGUUCAUCUAGACAGCAGGACGGUGGCCAUGGAAGUCGGAAUCCGCUAAGGAGUGUGUAACAACUCACCUGCCGAAUGAAGUAGCCCUGAAAAUGGAUGGCGCUAAAGCGAAUAACCUAUACAUAGCCAACACAAUUAGGAUUGUAUGGUGUUGAGUAGGAAUGCGUGAUGAAUGUUGUGAAGUAUAUCGUGUGAACGAAUAUGGAACAUUCAUUAGUGCAGAUCUUGGUGGAAGUAGCAAAUAUUCAAAUGAGAUCUUUGAAGACUGAAGUGGAGAAAGGUUCCAUAGGAAUAGUGAUUAUCUAUGGGUUAGUCGAUCCUAAGAGAUAAGUGAAAUCUGUUGAAAGUAUAACAUUUGGUUAUAAGUUAUCGAAAGGGAAUCAGGUUAAUAUUCCUGAACCAAAUAGUAUAAGAAACGGUAACGUAUAUUCCUCUUGAGACAUUUCUAUUAUUCCCAGGAAGAGUUUUCUUUUCUUGUUAACAAUAUUUGAGUGCUUGGAAUUAAUUCAGUUAGCGAUAAGCAUUGAAUAUUGGUAAAGUAGUAUACUAUUGUAUAUUAUCUGGUGCAAUGAUAGGGAUCCUUGAAAAUGAAGAGGUAAAAUCUUAGAAUAUUUGGUCGUACUAAUAACCGCAUCAGGUCUCCAAGGUGAAUAGCCUCUAGUUAAUAGAAUAAUGUAGAUAAGGGAAGUCGGCAAAUUAGAUCCGUAACUUCGGGAAAAGGAUUGGCUCUGAGGGCUAAGUGGAUAUGAGUGUUAGGUAUGUGUUGGUGUAGUGUUUGUGUUGUUUUUGAUGGCUUCGGUUGUUGAGAAUGACGCUUGCAUAGCAUCUACCCAUCCUCUCACUCUCCCACUAUGAAUAGCUAACUCAGAACUGGUACGGACAAGGGGAAUCCGACUGUUUAAUUAAAACAAAGCAUUGUGAUAGUGUGAAAGAUAUAUUGACACAAUGUGAAUUCUGCCCAGUGCUCUGAAUGUCAAAGUGGCGUAAUUCAACCAAGCGCGGGUAAACGGCGGGAGUAACUAUGACUCUCUUAAGGUAGCCAAAUGCCUCGUCAUCUAAUUAGUGACGCGCAUGAAUGG
rnacentral:rRNA from 1 species